CUCUGCUUCCCAACUCACAAAACUGGGCGUGGCAUAUGAGCCUGUAGUCCCAGCCCUGGGGAGGCAGAUGCAGGAGGAU
rnacentral:miRNA from 1 species